rnacentral:rRNA from 1 species
GAUGAACGCUGGCGGCGUGCCUAAUACAUGCAAGUCGAGCGAACGGACGAGAAGCUUGCUUCUCUGAUGUUAGCGGCGGACGGGUGAGUAACACGUGGAUAACCUACCUAUAAGACUGGGAUAACUUCGGGAAACCGGAGCUAAUACCGGAUGAUAUUUUGAACCGCAUGGUUCAAAAGUGAAAGACGGUCUUGCUGUCACUUAAAGAUGGAUCCGCGCUGCAUUAGCUAGUUGGUAAGGUAACGGCUUACCAAGGCAACGAUGCAUAGCCGACCUGAGAGGGUGAUCGGCCACACUGGAACUGAGACACGGUCCAGACUCCUACGGGAGGCAGCAGUAGGGAAUCUUCCGCAAUGGGCGAAAGCCUGACGGAGCAACGCCGCGUGAGUGAUGAAGGUCUUCGGAUCGUAAAACUCUGUUAUUAGGGAAGAACAUAUGUGUAAGUAACUGUGCACAUCUUGACGGUACCUAAUCAGAAAGCCACGGCUAACUACGUG